ACUGAAGAUUAAAAUUAUUUUGGCAAUUGAUAUUUUGCCAUAAAUCCUGUUUACAGACUUAACGAGUUUAACAUGCAAGUCAGAUCAUUCUAGAAGCUAUCUAUAAUAUACUACAAAACAGCAUGCAGAAAACACAAAAAAACAUGGUGGACCAGUACAGAAACAUAAAUACAAUUUUAUUUUGACACCACACGCAAAACCCCAAUGACCAUUUAGACGACCGCAUACAUCCAAACCAACAACUUCCCAUUUACAGAGAAAACCACAGCUUCCGUUCCAGAGCAAGAGUGACAGGUUCACCAGUAGAUUCUGAUCAGACUGCAAUGACUGAGCUGUCAGUUCAUGACGAAAUAUUGCAGGAAGGUUGCAGUACACCAAGACAAUCCAGAUAACCAGAAUAAACUGAAGUUUGUUCAUUCUAAUAGAUUACUUUCAAAGUCAACGAUAACAAUCCAUACUGCUUUCAUGUCAGUUUUAUGACGAGUAUGAGCCAUUUUUUAAUAAAAAUGCCUCUAGAUUUAAAGAUGCAGACAUGCUCAAAGUCUAAACUGGAUCUGAUGGUGCUAGGAUACUAUGAUACAGGCAGACGGAUGGAUGUUCAAGCAUGUAAGAGUGCUCCUCUGUGCGUCUUCAUCCUGUUCCUGAGGCUCUGCAGGUUUAAAUGAGUUGCACUGCACCGCUGGCCACUAGAGGCGCUAUAGUACGGUAACACAUCAGGUGCUUCGUCCAAGUCCACAACGCACUCCCCGAGAGAGAAAACAACAACUAAAUACUGUUUAUGAACUCAUAUUGCUUUAUCAUCUCAGCCAGAUGCGGUUUAUUCUAGGAUAUUGAGCAUUUUGAUAAGUAAAUCCAUUGCAUUUUAUUCAUUUUAAUGAAUUUUUGUGUUUGGUUAUGAGGCAGCAAGCAAGCAUCUUUGCUCUCUCCUGCCCACAAGCCACUACCAGAUCAGUGAUCAACCAGAAUGGGAUUUUCAGUGUGUGACUGCUGAAUGAAAAUGAGGUUAUUACUUUAAAUACAGUAAAACUGUACCAUUGUGAAAAAGUGUUACAAUUUAAAUUGUUUUCUAUUGUAAUAUACAUUCAAAUGUAAGUUAUUUCUGUGAUGCAAAGCUGAAUUUUCAGCAUCAUUACUCCGGUCUUCGGUGUCACAUGAUCUUCAGAAAUCAUUUGGAUAUGCUAAUUUGCUGCUUGAUAAGCUUUUUUUUUUUUGUCAUUAUUAUCCAUGCUUAAAAACACUUGUGGUGCUUAAUAUUUUUGUGGAAACAGAUACAUUUUUUUUGCAGGAUUCUAUGAUGAAUAAAGCAGCAUUUGUUUGAAAUAUACAUUUCUGGUAGCCAUUUUUAAAGUCCUUAUGGUUACUUUUAAACAAUUGAAUGCAUCCUUGCUCUAUAAAUUCUUUCAAACAAACAAACUUACUAGCCACACACUUUUGAACAGUAGUCUAUGUGCUUUUCUGUGCAGUACAUAACUGAUAGAUUCCACAUUACCUUAAAGGUAAAAAGCUUUUGUACCUUUAUAUCUGAGGGUUGACUGUCAAAUGGAUUAAGUAAUUUACUGUAAAUUUCCUCGAUCAAAAUUAAUGGAUUGUGGAAAUAUAUUGUAAAGGCAAUUUACUGUAAAAUCCCUCUAUCCAAAUGAAUGGAUUAUGGUAUUAUUUAAAAUAUACUAUCACAAUUGUGCUGGCUGAACUACACUUCUAGUAUUUCUGGCUAAUAAAUCUCAAAAUAUAACUGAAAUACACUAAUAAAAAAUAAAUUUGCAUUAAUACACUUAUUGAGAUACAAAGAAAUGUCAUUUAAAAAAGCAAGAGAAGGAUUGCUUUUGGCAUUAAAUGACAAUCUUUUGUCAGAAGAGGAGUUUUUAAUAUUAUAUGAUGUAAAUAAGUCUAAAAACCUAGAUUUACCAUGUAAGCAAUACUUGCCUUUUAACCUUGAUUACAUGGAGGAAGACGAAUGCUUAAAUGAAUUUCAUGUCAGAAAAAAUGUGACCUACCAAUUCUGGUAGAUUUUUUUUUAUGCAUUAAGCGACUUACAGGGCAUUCAAUGUAUCUUUUUUUUUUUUUUUUACCUAUAUAGAUGUUCUCAGGAUUCCCAAUGAGAUCGUUUGUGAUCAGACAAUCAUAAACUGAUGCAAAUUACAGUGUCAUAUGCCAUAACAUUUAUUUACCUAAUCUCUCACGUUUUAGCAACUCAGGCAAAUCAGCUGUUCUCCCGUAGUAGACCGUUAAAGUAGAACGUCACAAAGUAGCAGUUAAAUUCGCGCAUGCGCAAUAUAACGCCAGAAUGGUGUUGCCGUUCCACCCAAGGGGCAAGGAACUCGACCGGAAGUUGAAGUCGGGUGGGGGCUGCCAUCUUUUAGCAGAACUUCACUUGCGUUAGCAUUCCCAUUGACUCCCAUUCAUUUUGGCGUCACUUUGACAGCGAAUAACUUUACAUCUGAGGCGUUUAAAGACUCUGUUUGUCCAUUAUUUAUUUCUAAAGAUACACGACAAUGUAUAAAGGGCUCCAUUACCUUCUAUGUUACAUUAUGGCCCCGUAUAAACAGUUUUUGUAAAAAAUAGGCUAACGAUUGCGUCAUAACCACUCGGCUCUCUGUCGCAUUACCGUACAGACAGGAGGAGAAGCUCGCAGGCAAUUAACUUAAUAUGGCGUACUGGCGUUACAUUUUAAAAUACUAUACAAAAUAAUUAAUCAGAAUACUUACUCCUGCUCACUCACGCCAAAGAACUCCCCGCUCAAGCUCACCGUCUCUGCAAGAUUAACGAUGGCAGUUUUCACGCACAGCUACUAGAAGAUGUACAUCUGGCAGACAGGUUGCUGACGUCGUCAAGCUUCGUUUGAGUCUGCGCGUCAGAAACGGAAGUGCUAAAAAACGCUAAAACUGGGCUUCAUUUGUCUCAAUUGAGUUCCAAUGGGGUCGCUGUGUCCAUUUCUUUUACUGUCUAUGGUUCCACCAGAGGUUACUCACCACUGUUGCUUAGUCCGUUCUGAAACGGCGCCCAGUGACGGAUGGUGUAGCAAUAUUGUUGUCCGGGUGGAAAUCGGAAGAUUUUCGGGAGGGGCUUUGAAAUUCGGGAGUCUCUAUCUGCAGAAAACCCUCUACCUACAGACGAGACAACAGCCAUAUACUGCACCGUGGGUACAGAAAGUAUUCAGGCCCCCUUAAAUUUUUCACUCUUUGUUAUAUUGCAGCCAUUUGUUAAAAUCAUUUAAGUUAAUGUUUUCCUUCAUUAAUGCACACACAGCACCCCAUACUGACAUAAAACACAGUUGUUGAAAUUUUUGCACAUUUAUUAAAAAAUAAAAACUGAAAUAUCACAUGGUCCUAAGUAUUCAGACCCUUUGCUCAGUAUUUCGUAGAAGCAACCUUUUGAUCUAAUACAGCCGUGAGUCUUUUUGGGAAUGAUGCAACAAGUUUUUCACACCUGGAUUUGGGGAUCCUCUGCAAUUCCUCAUUGCAGAUCCUCUCCAGUUCUGUCAGGCUGGAUGGUAAACGUUGGUGGACAGCCAUUUUCAGGUCUCUCCAGAGAUGCUCAACUGGGUUUAAGUCAGGGCUCUGGCUGGGCCAUUCAAGAUCAGACACAGAGUUGUUGUGAAGCCACUCCUUCGUUAUUUUAGCUGUGUGCUUAGGGUCAUUGUCUUGUUUUUAAGGUGAACCUUUGGCCCAGUCUGAGGUCUUGAGCACUCUGGAGAAGGUUUUCAUCCAGGAUAUCCCUGUACUUGGCUGCAUUCAUCUUUCCCUCGAUUACAACCAGUCGUCCUGUCCCUGCAGCUGAAAAACACCCCCACAGCACGAUGCUGCCACCACCAUGUUUCACUCUAUUGGACAGGAGAGGCUUCCUUUGGGCCACUCUGCCAUGAAGCCCGACUGGUGGAAGGAUUCAGUGAUGGUUGACUUCCUACAACUUUCUCCCAUCUCCCGACUGCAUCUCUGGAGCUCACGCGGUAUGGGCACGCGUUGUGGGGGGGCCCCCCAAAAAAUUGACUCGAAUAAAUAAUUCAAGCGUUUUUAUAACGUGAACGUAUAGGACUUUUAUUUUGGUAGUAAUUGCAGCCUACCGUGUUUGGCGAUUAUGACCAUAUGUUGUCCUUGUUAUCCAAUCACGAUUAAGAAUUUCCGCAACUGUUUAAAGAGUGAAGCUUAUGAGCGCAAAAUGAGUCAAAGAAAAUAUGUCAGGGGAGCUCAAAAACGGACUAACGGAGAUCUUUUUCUAAACUAAAACUAAUAAAAACCUGCAUGAGAAGCACAAUGAGCCACGACAGACUUUCUGAACUUGCGAUAAUCAGCAUUGAAAGCCAGCACGCGCGUCAGAUGGACAUAACAGACAUUGUCAAGGACUUUGCGCAAAAAAAUGCUAGGAGAAAGGUGCGCUUUGGAGGAUUUUAAAGGUAAUAUUACUUUUAUUGAAUGUUAAACGUCAUCAAUCUUUGUUAUAUACUGCAGAUAGAAUAAUAUUUUGAUGUGCUCAUCAAAAUCAUGUGCUCAUCAUGUGCUCCCUUGCAUUUUAACAAGUUAAUGUAAUUGCUGUUUUAUUGUUGUGUUUCUUUUAUUCUUUUUUUUUGUGUGUGAAAGUUCUUAAUAAAUAAAUACGAAAUAAUUACAUACUAUUAAAUUCCACAGUACUAAUUCACGAUUUUGAAUGAAAAGGUGAACCCCCCCAUAUAAUUAUGCGGUGAGGGGCCCCGCCUCCACUCUUGCGUGUGGGCCAACGCAGUUUGCGCUACGCCACUGAAUAUAAGUACUGAAUACUUACUGAAUACAUUUAUGACCUCAAGGGUCAUAAUGCAGCAGCAAGAGUUCUUACUAGAACCAGGAAGUAUGACCAUAUUAGCCCGGUCCUGUCCACACUGCACUGGCUCCCUAUCAAACAUCGUAUAGAUUUUAAAAUAUUGCUUAUUACUUAUAAAGCCCUGAAUGGUUUAGCACCUCAGUAUUUGAAUGAGCUCCUUUUACAUUAUACUCCUCUACGUCCGCUACGUUCUCAAAACUCAGGAAAUUUGAUAAUACCUAGAAUAUCAAAAUCAACUGCGGGCAGCAGAUCCUUUUCCUAUUUGGCACCUAAACUCUGGAAUAACCUACCUAACAUUGUUCGGGAGGCAGACACACUCUUGCAGUUUAAAUCUAGAUUAAAGACCCAUCUCUUUAACCUGGCAUACACAUAACAUACUAAUAUGCUUUUAAUAUCCAAAUCCGUUAAAGGAUUUUUAGGCUGCAUUAAUUAGGUAAACCGGAACCGGAAACACUUCACAUAACACCGUACUUGCUACAUCAUUAGAAGAAUGGCAUCUACGCUAAUAUUUGUCUGUUUCUCUCUUUUUCCGAGGUCACCGUGGCCACGAGAUCCAGUCUGUAUCCAGAUCAGAGGGUCACUGCAGUCGCCCGGAUCCAGUACGUAUCCAGACCAGAUGGUGGAUCAGCACCUAGAAAGGACCUCUACUGCCCUGAAAGACAGCGGAGACCAGGACAACUAGAGCCCCAGAUACAGAUCCCCUGUAAAUACCUUGUCUCAGAGGAGCACCAGGACAAGACCACAAGAAGCAGAUGAUUCUUCUGCACAAUCUGACUUUGCUGCAGCCUGGAAUUGAACUACUGGUUUCAUCUGGUCAGAGGAGAACUGGCUCCCCAACUGAGCCUGGUUUCUCCCAAGGUUUUUUUUUCUCCAUUCUGUCACCGAUGGAGUUUCGGUUCCUUGCCGCUCUGGCUUGGGUCACUUCAUCUACAGCGAUAUCGUUGACUUGAUUGCAAAUAAAUUCACAGACACUAUUUAACUGAACAGAGAUGACAUCACUGAAUUCAAUGAUGCACUGCCUUUAACUAUCAUUUUGCAUUAUUGACUUAGGACCAUGUGAUAUUUCAGUUUUUCUUUUUUAAUAAAUCUGCAAAAAUGUCAA